GACGGGCCCCGCACAAGCAGCGGAGCGUGUGGUUUAAUUCGAUGUUACACGAAGAACCUUACCAGGGUUUGACAUGCAAGUGGUAGGAAGCCGAAAGGUGACCGACCCUUCGAGGAGCUUGCACAGGUGCUGCAUGGCUGUCGUCAGCUCGUGUCGUGAGAUGUUCGGUUAAGUCCGCUAACGAGCGCAACCCUCGCUGUGUGUUAUAUGUGUCACACAGGACUGCUGGUAUUAAGCCGGAGGAAGGUGGGACGACGUCAAGUCAGCAUGACCUUUAUAUCCAGGGCUACACACACGCUACAAUGGUCAGUACAAUGGGUUGCCAAGCCGCGAGGCGGAGCCAAUCCUAAAAAGCUGGCCUCAGUUCAGAUUGCAGUCUGAAACUCGACUGCAUGAAGUCGGAGUUGCUAGUAAACGCAGGUCAGCUAUACUGCGUUGAAUACGUUCCCGGGGCUU
rnacentral:rRNA from 1 species